ensembl:misc_RNA 7SK 7SK RNA
GGAUGUGAUGGCAAUCUGAUUAUGAUGUGUGUCACCCUAUUGAUCACCGGCUGAUCAAUGGCCACUGACUAGGCUGAUCUGGCUGGCUAGGCAGUGCUCCCUUCCUCCCUUGCCACUGCAUGUGUGUCCUUCUGGAAGCUUCACACUUGGUAGAAGAGGACGACCCACCCCAUAGAGGAGAACCAUUUCCUUGGUGAAGGGUGUAGGAGUAGCUAAGCUUGCCCACUAGAACCUUCAAAUAAGCUCUUAAAAAGAGUGCUGAGUCAGUAGCAGGGAUUAAUUAUUUUUUCUACUGUGGAAUUGAGA